rnacentral:miRNA from 1 species
CAAACCAAAUUAAGAUAAAAUACACUCGCAAGGAGAGAGCUCUUAGAGCUGAAUAGAAGCUCUCUCCUUGUGAGUGUAUUUUAUUUUAAUUU